CACUAUCGUUAACUGAAUACAUAGGUUAACGAGGCGAACCGGGGGAACUGAAACAUCUAAGUACCCCGAGGAAAAGAAAUCAACCGAGAUUCCCCCAGUAGCGGCGAGCGAACGGGGAGCAGCCCAGAGUCUGAAUCAGCUUGUGUGUUAGUGGAACGGUCUGGAAAGUCCGACGGUACAGGGUGAUAGUCCCGUACACCAAAAUGCACAGGUUGUGAACUCGAAGAGUAGGGCGGGACACGUGGUAUCCUGUCUGAAUAUGGGGGGACCAUCCUCCAAGGCUAAAUACUCCUGACUGACCGAUAGUGAACCAGUACCGUGAGGGAAAGGCGAAAAGAACCCCGGCGAGGGGAGUGAAAAAGAACCUGAAACCGUGUACGUACAAGCAGUGGGAGCACCUUCGGGUGUGACUGCGUACCUUUUGUAUAAUGGGUCAGCGACUUAUAUUCUGUAGCAAGGUUAACCGUAUAGGGGAGCCGCAGGGAAACCGAGUCUUAACUGGGCGUUAAGUUGCAGGGUAUAGACCCGAAACCCGGUGAUCUAGCCAUGGGCAGGUUGAAGGUUGGGUAACACUAACUGGAGGACCGAACCGACUAAUGUUGAAAAAUUAGCGGAUGACUUGUGGCUGGGGGUGAAAGGCCAAUCAAACCGGGAGAUAGCUGGUUCUCCCCGAAAGCUAUUUAGGUAGCGCCUCGUGAACUCAUCUUCGGGGGUAGAGCACUGUUUCGGCUAGGGGGUCAUCCCGACUUACCAACCCGAUGCAAACUACGAAUACCGAAGAAUGUUAUCACGGGAGACACACGGCGGGUGCUAACGUCCGUCGUGAAGAGGGAAACAACCCAGACCGCCAGCUAAGGUCCCAAAGUCAUGGUUAAGUGGGAAACGAUGUGGGAAGGCACAGACAGCCAGGAUGUUGGCUUAGAAGCAGCCAUCAUUUAAAGAAAGCGUAAUAGCUCACUGGUCGAGUCGGCCUGCGCGGAAGAUGUAACGGGGCUAAACCAUGCACCGAAGCUGCGGCAGCGACACUAUGUGUUGUUGGGUAGGGGAGCGUUCUGUAAGCCUGCGAAGGUGACCUGUGAGGGUUGCUGGAGGUAUCAGAAGUGCGAAUGCUGACAUAAGUAACGAUAAAGCGGGUGAAAAGCCCGCUCGCCGGAAGACCAAGGGUUCCUGUCCAACGUUAAUCGGGGCAGGGUGAGUCGACCCCUAAGGCGAGGCCGAAAGGCGUAGUCGAUGGGAAACAGGUUAAUAUUCCUGUACUUGGUGUUACUGCGAAGGGGGGACGGAGAAGGCUAUGUUAGCCGGGCGACGGUUGUCCCGGUUUAAGCAUGUAGGCUGGUUGUCCAGGCAAAUCCGGAUAAUCAAGGCUGAGGUGUGAUGACGAGGCACUACGGUGCUGAAGUAACAAAUGCCCUGCUUCCAGGAAAAGCCUCUAAGCAUCAGGUAACAUUAAAUCGUACCCCAAACCGACACAGGUGGUCAGGUAGAGAAUACCAAGGCGCUUGAGAGAACUCGGGUGAAGGAACUAGGCAAAAUGGUGCCGUAACUUCGGGAGAAGGCACGCUGGUGUGUAGGUGAAG
rnacentral:rRNA from 1 species